rnacentral:rRNA from 1 species
GACGAGCGCUGGCGGCGUGCUUAACACAUGCAAGUCGAACGGAAAGGCCCCCUUGUGGGGUACUCGAGUGGCGAACGGGUGAGUAACACGUGAGUAACCUACCCUUGACUUUGGGAUAACUUCAGGAAACUGGGGCUAAUACCGGAUAGGAGCUCCUGCUGCAUGGUGGGGGUUGGAAAGUUUCGGCGGUUGGGGAUGGACUCGCGGCUUAUCAGCUUGUUGGUGGGGUAGUGGCUCACCAAGGCUUUGACGGGUAGCCGGCCUGAGAGGGUGACCGGCCACAUUGGGACUGAGAUACGGCCCAGACUCCUACGGGAGGCAGCAGUGGGGAAUAUUGCACAAUGGGCGGAAGCCUGAUGCAGCAACGCCGCGUGCGGGAUGACGGCCUUCGGGUUGUAAACCGCUUUCGCCUGUGGCGAAGCGUGAGUGACGGUAAUGGGUAAAGAAGCACCGGCUAACUACGUG